rnacentral:sRNA from 1 species
GUUCCUUUUGUUUCUUCUGUUUUAGUUCUCUUGUGGGU